rnacentral:rRNA from 1 species
GCGCGAAACCUCCGCAAUGCGAGCAAUCGCGACGGGGGGACCCCAAGUGCCACUCUUAACGGGGUGGCUUUUCUUAAGUGUAAAAAGCUUUUGGAAUAAGGGCUGGGCAAGACCGGUGCCAGCCGCCGCGGUAACACCGGCAGCCCAAGUGGUGGCCAUUUUUAUUGGGCCUAAAGCGUUCGUAGCCGGCCUGAUAAGUCUCUGGUGAAAUCCCGCAGCUUAACUGUGGGAAUUGCUGGAGAUACUAUCAGGCUUGAGGUCGGGAGAGGUUAGAGGUACUCCCAGGGUAGGGGUGAAAUCCUAUAAUCCUGGGAGGACCACCUGUGGCGAAGGCGUCUUACCAGAACGGGUUCGACGGUGAGGGACGAAAGCUGGGGGCACGAACCGG